rnacentral:rRNA from 1 species
CUUUACUGCAGCUUUGCAUUGGACUUUGACGGGACUUGUGUAGGAUAGGUGGGAGGCGUUGAGACGUGGUCGCCAGAUCGCGUGGAGCCAACCUUGAAAUACCACCCUGGUGUCGUUGAGGUUCUAACCUUGGUCCGUGAAUCCGGAUCGGGGACCGUGCAUGGCAGGCAGUUUGACUGGGGCGGUCUCCUCCCAAAGCGUAACGGAGGAGUACGAAGGUCUUCUAAGUACGGUCGGACAUCGUGCUUAUAGUGCAAUGGCAAAAGAGGGCUUGACUGCGAGACCCACACGUCGAGCAGGUGCGAAAGCAGGUCAUAGUGAUCCGGUGGUUCUGUAUGGAAGGGCCAUCGCUCAACGGAUAAAAGGUA